UCAAAUCACCAUCACGCGGUUCGUUCUAGAUUCGAGAUCUGUGUGGCGGUGUUGCUCGCGGAAAUCUUUGCUUCAUAUUUGAGCAGCAGAGUCGCGAUUGUUGCACCAGUGGAGGUGUUGUUGUGAAAGAUGUCGGUGGAGGUGCUCAGGCGGCGAGAACGCUGACGUAUUUGAUUGCGGAUCUAAUGUUUCUGUUGUUGUGUUUGCGCAGCUUCACGUCGUUCCAGAUCUUUUGAGGUUCAUCUUUUCUAGUAAGGCUUGACGUUUUUCUUUUGAAUUGUAGAUCUUGUAGUUUUUCUUUAUUAAAUACAUUGAAAAAUCUAGAUAUAUUUAUUUUAUCUGUUAUUUAUCAGUAGUUUAAGCAACAAAAUCUCAUUUUCUUUCUCCAGCAUUAACAUAGAAAACCAUCGCAGUUUAAUGUUGUAUUGUAUUAAUUGUGGGUUAUGAACAGACUGUGACCAAACUUUAUCUCAGCUGUUAGAUUGAUGAACAGACUAUCCAAAAUUAAACACAAGAAAGAAGCCAAGGCAAAAAUGUAGAGAGCUGGUAAGUUUAUUUACUGGUGUUUCUUGAUUGUGGAUGCCAUAUUUAUUUAUUGCUGAUUUUUUGCUUUAAUAUUUG
rnacentral:lncRNA from 1 species